GAUGAACGCUGGCGGCGUGCCUAAUACAUGCAAGUCGAGCGAACAGACGAGGAGCUUGCUCCUCUGACGUUAGCGGCGGACGGGUGAGUAACACGUGGAUAACCUACCUAUAAGACUGGGAUAACUUCGGGAAACCGGAGCUAAUACCGGAUAACAUGUUGAACCGCAUGGUUCAACAGUGAAAGACGGUCUUGCUGUCACUUAUAGAUGGAUCCGCGCCGCAUUAGCUAGUUGGUAAGGUAACGGCUUACCAAGGCAACGAUGCAUAGCCGACCUGAGAGGGUGAUCGGCCACACUGGAACUGAGACACGGUCCAGACUCCUACGGGAGGCAGCAGUAGGGAAUCUUCCGCAAUGGGCGAAAGCCUGACGGAGCAACGCCGCGUGAGUGAAGAAGGUCUUCGGAUCGUAAAACUCUGUUAUUAGGGAAGAACAAAUGUGUAAGUAACUAUGCACGUCUUGACGGUACCUAAUCAGAAAGCCACGGCUAACUACGUG
rnacentral:rRNA from 1 species